rnacentral:rRNA from 1 species
CUGCGGCAGCGAACGUAUCACUUAAAGCGAUUCAGCGGAUGACGAUUGACGGAGCGAAGCGACGUCAAAGCGUAUACAAAGUCGAGUCGGUUUAAGGAUACGUUCGUUGGGUAGGGGAGCGUUCUGUAAGCCUGCGAAGGUGGCCUGUGAGGGUUGCUGGAGGUAUCAGAAGUGCGAAUGCUGACAUAAGUAACGAUAAAGCGGGUGAAAAGCCCGCUCGCCGGAAGACCAAGGGUUCCUGUCCAACGUUAAUCGGGGCAGGGUGAGUCGACCCCUAAGGCGAGGCCGAAAGGCGUAGUCGAUGGGAAACGGGUUAAUAUUCCCGUACUUGGUGUUACUGCGAAGGGGGGACGGAGAAGGCUAUGUUGGCCGGGCGACGGUUGUCCCGGUUUAAGCGUGUAGGUGUGUGUUCCAGGUAAAUCCGGUUCACUUUAACACUGAGGCGUGAUGACGAGGCACUACGGUGCUGAAGCAACAAAUGCCCUGCUUCCAGGAAAAGCCUCUAAGCAUCAGGUAACAUCAAAUCGUACCCCAAACCGACACAGGUGGUCAGGUAGAGAAUACCAAGGCGCUUGAGAGAACUCGGGUGAAGGAACUAGGCAAAAUGGUGCCGUAACUUCGGGAGAAGGCACGCUGACAUGUAGGUGAAGUGAUUUACUCAUGGAGCUGAAGUCAGUCGAAGAUACCAGCUGGCUGCAACUGUUUAUUAAAAACACAGCACUGUGCAAACACGAAAGUGGACGUAUACGGUGUGACGCCUGCCCGGUGCCGGAAGGUUAAUUGAUGGGGUCAGCGCAAGCGAAGCUCCUGAUCGAAGCCCCGGUAAACGGCGGCCGUAACUAUAACGGUCCUAAGGUAGCGAAAUUCCUUGUCGGGUAAGUUCCGACCUGCACGAAUGGCGUAAUGAUGGCCAGGCUGUCUCCACCCGAGACUCAGUGAAAUUGAACUCGCUGUGAAGAUGCAGUGUACCCGCGGCAAGACGGAAAGACCCCGUGAACCUUUACUAUAGCUUGACACUGAACAUUGAGCCUUGAUGUGUAGGAUAGGUGGGAGGCUUUGAAGUGUGGACGCCAGUCUGCAUGGAGCCGACCUUGAAAUACCACCCUU